rnacentral:sRNA from 1 species
GGCGGUGGUGACCGGCGGUGGUGGCCAGCGGUGGUGGUUGCUACUGAAGGUAUUGAGGCAACAAGGACAAAUUGAGUAAUAUUACAUAUAAUACAGAGAAUAUUAUAAUUACAUAGUUAGGAUGGUUAGUUAGUGAAUUAUAGUUUUUUUUGUUAGUUAUUUAUGCAAAUUUCCCAUAUUUAUAUAUACUAAAUCUUGUAGUCAAAAGCGUUGAGUUUUUCUU